CUUAUAUUCUGUAGCAAGGUUAACCGUAUAGGGGAGCCGAAGGGAAACCGAGUCUUAACUGGGCGUUAAGUUGCAGGGUAUAGACCCGAAACCCGGUGAUCUAGCCAUGGGCAGGUUGAAGGUUGGGUAACACUAACUGGAGGACCGAACCGACUAAUGUUGAAAAAUUAGCGGAUGACUUGUGGCUGGGGGUGAAAGGCCAAUCAAACCGGGAGAUAGCUGGUUCUCCCCGAAAGCUAUUUAGGUAGCGCCUCGUGAACUCAUCUUCGGGGGUAGAGCACUGUUUCGGCUAGGGGGUCAUCCCGACUUACCAACCCGAUGCAAACUGCGAAUACCGAAGAAUGUUAUCACGGGAGACACACGGCGGGUGCUAACGUCCGUCGUGAAGAGGGAAACAACCCAGACCGCCAGCUAAGGUCCCAAAGUCACAGUUAAGUGGGAAACGAUGUGGGAAGGCUCAGACAGCCAGGAUGUUGGCUUAGAAGCAGCCAUCAUUUAAAGAAAGCGUAAUAGCUCACUGGUCGAGUCGGCCUGCGCGGAAGAUGUAACGGGGCUAAACUGUGCACCGAAGCUGCGGCAGCGACGCUUAUGCGUUGUUGGGUAGGGGAGCGUUCUGUAAGCCUGCGAAGGUGUCCUGUGAGGGAUGCUGGAGGUAUCAGAAGUGCGAAUGCUGACAUAAGUAACGAUAAUGCGGGUGAAAAGCCCGCUCGCCGGAAGACCAAGGGUUCCUGUCCAACGUUAAUCGGGGCAGGGUGAGUCGACCCCUAAGGCGAGGCCGAAAGGCGUAGUCGAUGGGAAACGGGUUAAUAUUCCCGUACUUGGUGUUACUGCGAAGGGGGGACGGAGAAGGCUAUGUUGGCCGGGCGACGGUUGUCCCGGUUUAAGCGUGUAGGCUGGUUUUCCAGGCAAAUCCGGAAAAUCAAG
rnacentral:rRNA from 3 species